ACCUCUCUGGUAAUAAUCUUUUUCUUUUCAAGAUUGGCACUUUAUUUUCCAGAUCGUUCGCUAAUUGUUACGAUGUUACAUCAUUAGCCGUCUGUCACAGUUUAAAAAUUUGGACGCACGUUAAUGAUAUGAUCAUUUCAAUUUCAUUUACAUUCCAAUGCGUUUCAGAAACCGUUUUGUGUGAUUUAAGGCUGUGAUUGUUGGAUAUGGUUGUGAAAGUUACAGAACAAUAGUCAUGAGUUGGUGGUUUGAAUGAAAACGCUCCUUGUAUUGAUGAAUAACAGGUCACAACAACGAGGAUUAGUUUCCAAAAGCCAGUUUUGGUUUCCAACCAUGGAAGGACUAAUCUCUCCUUCAACCUAAGCCGCACUCGCCUUUCAAUCUCUUGCGCGGUAUGUUCUGUUUUCUUUUUGUACACCACUUGACCAUUUUCUCGUGUUUGUUGACAUCUUAGUACUUUUGUCUUUAUAGGCCAAACAAGAGACAGUAGAGAAAGUAUCUGAGAUAGUCAAGAAGCAACUCUCACUCAAAGACGAUCAACAAGUCGUUGCAGAAACCAAAUUUGUCGAUCUUGGAGCAGAUUCUCUCGACACGGUACGUAAUUCAUCAACCAAACCAUUCUCUUUGUGAAUCAGAACUUGUAGAGUUUGUAUUAACUGAGUGUUUUGCAUGCAGGUUGAGAUUGUGAUGGGUUUAGAGGAAGAGUUUGGGAUCCAAAUGGCAGAAGAGAAAGCACAGAAGAUUGCAACAGUUGAGCAAGCUGCUGAACUCAUUGAAGAGCUCAUGCAAGCCAAGAAGUAACUUCAAGUUUUAGUUUACCCCUCAAAAUAAAAAACAGAGCAAGGCUUUGAUGAGUUUGUUGUUUUCAUUAUGUUUUUUAAUGUGUCAAGUGGGUCUGUCCCCGUCCUAGUGGUUUAGUACCCUUUGGCUCCCAUUGGAGCGUCUGACUCAAGUUCACAGAGGAGAAAGGAUGUUAACAAGGAGAGAAGAAUGGCUGCUAAGCUUAAAGGGAAAAGAAUCGUUGUUUAAUGAGAUUAUUAUUAUUAUUAUUCCUUUUUGAUAGAUACUUUGGGAAGAAAAACAGUGCUGCUUUUUUGGUGGGUUAUAUGUUUCUUAUUUGUGUAUUGAAAAUAACAUUCAAAAUGAGGGCACCUUACAUUAUAUGUAAAGUUUUUAGUUUUUGCUUCCUUGGAGAUGGUACUCAUGGAGAACUUGCUGUCAAUGUAAUUCAGGCACAUAGUUAUGUUUGGUUUUGUUCCUUUUGUCCCUGGUUCUCUGACCGAGAGAGGCACCCAUGAUCUCAGUAAAGCUUAAGAAAACUUACAGAAACUUCUCAGAAAACCAAAAACUUCUUCCCUCUUAUAGUCAUGAAGAAGAAACUUCUAACAGUUUGGGAGACGUGUGGUGUUUUUUUAAUUAGUAUUGGUUGUAACUUGUUAAGUAACAAAACAAGAGUAUUUGUGUGUGCUUUUACUUUUGGCUCAUGGGGUUUGUUGUGUUAGUUAGGAACUUGACUUGUGUCUUGCUAUUAUAGGAUCUGAUUGGUAAGUUGUGGGUACUGUUUGGUUAAACUUUGGCCAAUGGUAAAAGGCUGUAAUAAAUAUAUGAGAAUGAAGGGUAGGUGUGACAAGAAGUACAUACUGUAGCUAACUAUUUAGUGGACACUGUGGUCCACCAUAGCUUUGAUUUCGUUUGGUAAAAUGGUAAAGACCGGUUUGACAGGUCCACUUCAAUUCAAUUAAGAACCGGUUUGACAGGUACAUUGUUAUUAAACUUCGAUAACCGUGUAAAGUCACUGAAUUCAUUUUGGCACGACGUUAUGCUACAUUCGCUCGUGCAUGAGUAUCUAUGGAUCGAAUAUUUGCAUGGGAACGAGGCCCAUGUUUUCUUCUUCGCAAACGACGUCGUUUCUGAGUGCACCAAGCUUAUAAAUGUAGCAAGCUACCAUGGGACAUCACGCUCUUUGUACACUCCGCCAUCUCUCUCCAUCUCUCUCGUGAAUAACGAAAAUGGCGACCACUUUCAGCGCUUCAGUCUCCAUGCAAGCUACCUCUCUGGUAAUAAUCUUUUUCUUUUCAAGAUUGGCACUUUAUUUUCCAGAUCGUUCGCUAAUUGUUACGAUGUUACAUCAUUAGCCGUCUGUCACAGUUUAAAAAUUUGGACGCACGUUAAUGAUAUGAUCAUUUCAAUUUCAUUUACAUUCCAAUGCGUUUCAGAAACCGUUUUGUGUGAUUUAAGGCUGUGAUUGUUGGAUAUGGUUGUGAAAGUUACAGAACAAUAGUCAUGAGUUGGUGGUUUGAAUGAAAACGCUCCUUGUAUUGAUGAAUAACAGGUCACAACAACGAGGAUUAGUUUCCAAAAGCCAGUUUUGGUUUCCAACCAUGGAAGGACUAAUCUCUCCUUCAACCUAAGCCGCACUCGCCUUUCAAUCUCUUGCGCGGUAUGUUCUGU
rnacentral:lncRNA from 1 species